rnacentral:lncRNA from 1 species
GGGGCUUAGAGCCUCACUUUUGCUGAGGCUGGCUUUGAACUUUUGAUCCUCCUGCCUCAGGCUUCUGAGCCACUGGGAUUACAAGCAUGUGCCAUGGUGCCCAGGUUUGGUUCUCCUUUUAAUGGGCAGUUAGGUGGUUUGAAGUCACUAUUCUGGCAAGGCUGGGGUAGAUGUAGUAUACCCAUGUCAUCAAGGACUUACACUGGGAGAUGCAGCAUUUUCAAAGCGAAGCUAAACCUUUGCAAGGACUUGUGCAGGUGUGUGUGUGUGUGUGUGUGUGUGUGUGUCCCUGGCUGUGCAGACACAGAGCUGUCCCUGUGGCGCACAUGGAUGAGAGGACAGGCCCCCAUUGACAGGGCAAGCUUUGCUUUAGCUGGAAGUUCCCCCUGUGCCUGGUCGAUGCUGUCAUUGCAGGAGUGUCGUUUGACCCUCGUGGCUACAGGAUGCAGUCAUAAAGGUGGAAAAAGGGUGCUUGGAGAGGGAGAGCCUUUCCCAACUAGGAGGGACUCCAGUCAACCUCCAGAUGUUUGGAUCUUGGGAACCACCUCCCUACCGGGUGCACAGCUCCAAACAGUCAUUGAAUUUUGGUGUCCCGGAAGUCAUCUGUAGCUGGCUUGGGGCCCUCCAGCCCUGAGCGGAGGAGUGGCAGCCGUGGGGGUGGCAGCCCCUUAGUGCAGAGCACCGUGGGCUGGGGGGUGCCAAGGCAGCACUCAACCCCACCAAGGAGGCUUCUGACCCCAAUGAUAUUUUUCACAGAGGGGGGUGGAUUCCAGAUGUAACCACAGCAACAUCCGCUCACAGCAGACAGAGAGCAGGUGCUUGCAUGGGUUGGAGAUGCUUGCUUUGAGUGGGCCAGGUGUGCAGAGGGCUUUCUGGGGCCUGCCGUCCCGGCCAGGUGAGCUCCUGCAAUGCUCCCUGUGGUACCCAAAAGGGUGGCGAGAAGAAAUGGGAAUGACCACGCUCUGCCACAGAGUCCCUUGUUUCUUAAAACACGCGGAGAGAGAAAGUAGCUAAUAACCAGGAGGCACGCCUUUUGUUAUUUUCGAAGUAUUUGCUUUUAAAAUGUGGAAAUGAAACAAUUUUAGUUCACCUGGAUUGAAACACAUCCAGAUGCACAGCUGGGCAGAGGAGCCCUGGAAAAGCAUCAGGGUUCUAGGGAGGGGCUGCAGGGGCGACCGGAGCUAGUGGUGAAGCGCCCUGUCUCCUCCUGCUGAUUGGGGGUCAUGGAGACACGGUAGUCACCCUGUCUACAGCAGGAGCGGUCACGGAAGCCCUAAAGGCGCCAGGGCCUUGCUCUUCACCAGUCCCUGAUGCUGUGGAUUCAAACUCGCUUCUGGUUUCUUCCACCCAGGACUCCCCUGGGUCUUGGCAGUGGUCUCCCAACUGGCCAACAUGGCGUCUGCUGUGGUCCCUUCUCAUGAAAACCUCACACUUGCCCCUGGGUUGGCCCCCGGAGCUCUGGGUCUGCAGGAGCGCAUCUGGUGGCCUGGGUGCGGCCCGGGAGGCCCCGGGUGCCCAACAGGGACCUUGCCUACACUAGGCCUUCAAGGAAUGCUUGGCGUGCAGGAGCAGAGCAAAGGCGAAGGCAGGGUACCACAGACCAAAGGAGGCAGAGUGGUCAGGAAAGGCUGUGCAGGUGUGACUGGGCUUGAGGACAAGUGACACUUAGGAGAGAGGUGGGUUAGAAGGAGGCUUUCGAUUUCUGAUCAACCUUGGACCAACACCAUGCUUAACACAGUCCCACAAGGUUCUGAGUAAAAGCAGGAGGGAGGGGAGAAGGCGGCUCACUCAAAAGCAAGGCGACCUCUUGGUGGGUAGAAAACUGGGACCAGGGCUGGACUCGGGGAUGGCUUCCUGGGCUCCGUUUUUGAGCCAACAUUCUUGGGUUUGGCUUUCCAGAGUCCCUUCCUGGGACGCAGAGGCACUGAGGGCCUUGUGGUUUAGGCAGGAGCUCAUGUGUGAGACAAAGCAGGAAGGCUCAUAGGAGAAGUGACCAGAUGAUGAGAGGUGUGACCACUCAGUGGAUUGAUCAACUGACACGGGUCAACUAGGUGGAAACUGUAGGCAGGUGGGGGGUGACUGGAGGAGGUGGGUCACUGGAAGCAUGCCCUUGGGCUUUAUAUUGUCCCUGGUGAGCAGCCCUCAGUCUGUACUCCCGGUGGCCUGGUCCUGAGGUGCUUUCCUCCACUGUGCCCUUGCGCUGUGAAGUCCUGUAUUAUCUCGCCCCAGAGCCAUGCAGUUGGGUGACCAUGGAUUGAACCUCUGAAACCAUGACCCAAAGUAAACUUUCCCCUUCUAAAUUACUCUUGUCAGGGCUCUUGGUCACAGGGACGAAAACGCUGACUAAAACAAAAUGUGACUUCUCAGCUACCAGUGUCCCAAGUGCUUCCCUUGUAGGGAAGCUGCAGACAGGCUUUCUCUGAAACGGGAGCUUGGGUCUGCAUUUCUCCCGAUCAAAAGGCUCGAGGUCACAGCCACUGUAUGGGGCCUGCUUUGGUGGAGGGUUCUGGAAACCCCUUCAUCAAUAAAACAAAACAAAAAUCAAGAGGAGGGAGUAUAAAGAGAAGAAGAAACUUUAAAAUAUUUUACUUAAGACCCUGCACACACACUCCACAUUCAAAGACCGGGGCUGGGACCGGGGCUGGCUGAGGCUGGCUUCCUGGGCUCCUUCCUGGGCUCAACAAUUAGGAUGUACAUCUGCUUCCAAAGAAAUACAAAUUAUGGAACAAAGUGAAAAGAGCUUAAAAUAAAGAGAGCAAGAACAUGCUGAAAACUCAGAUUCAGAACAGUUGAAGAGGAUAAAUACUAGAGGUGGGAAAUGAAAACCCUAGACUUAAACUAGGGCAGUCUUUAAAUUGGACCUAGUUGAAGGGACAAUUAGUGAACUGGAAGCUAGCCUUGAGGAGCUCACAGGAUGCAGUGCAGAGAGACCCCCACAGUUUGCAAAGCUGCUGAAAUGUGAUUGGGACAGUGAAAUGUUUACUGUGAUCCUAGAAAAGGAGAAUAAAGGGAAUGUGGAGAAAGAAUAUUAGAAGAGACCAUGACUAAAAAAGUUUCACAGGCACUGGGGAUGUAGCUCCGCGGUAGAGCACGUGUGAGACACUGGGUUCGAUCCUCA